rnacentral:rRNA from 1 species
UACGAAGGGGGCUAGCGUUGCUCGGAAUCACUGGGCGUAAAGCGCACGUAGGCGGAUUGUUAAGUCAGGGGUGAAAUCCUGGAGCUCAACUCCAGAACUGCCUUUGAUACUGGCGAUCUUGAGUUCGGGAGAGGUGAGUGGAACUGCGAGUGUAGAGGUGAAAUUCGUAGAUAUUCGCAAGAACACCAGUGGCGAAGGCGGCUCACUGGCCCGAUACUGACGCUGAGGCACGAAAGCGUGGGGAGCAA